UUUUUUUUUCGGUCGAGAACAUCAGCGUAGCUCGUAGCUGCCAGCGCGACGAAGGGCUUCGUUCGAGGAACUACUUCGUUAAAUAUUACCAUUGAGACAAAGUCAACGGCUGUGUUUUCUAGCACUAAAAAGUACCAAGUCUGCUUACGUCGCGGCUUCUGCUGAUGGGGUACUUAAAGACAGUGCAAGGUGGGACUGUUCCGGCUUUUUUUCCGGAUGACGCUGUUGCAUCGGCAUUGGCGUAUGAGCCGCGUGCGGGAGACGUUUUCAUCGUCACCUACCAAAAGUGUGGUACAACUUGGGUCCAGUAUAUCACGUACAGCCUCUGCCACGACGGUGAGCCUCCGAGUAGCAUCACGGAGCUGCUCACGAACUCUCCGUUCUUAGAGCUCCAUGGUGCAGACGCAGUUUAUGGCAUGCCAAGGCCGGGCACAAUCAAGAGUCAUCUGCCCUUCCACCAGCUGAAGUUUUCCACACGAGCAAAAUACAUCUAUGUCGCCAGGAACCCGUAUGAUGUGUGUGUAUCAGCAUACCAUCAGUAUAGAACGCUGACGGCCAGCGAAGAAGGGCUUAUGGAGCGCGACGAAUUCGUUAAAAGCUUCGUCGCGCGAGCAGGUAGCAAGGCAUGCUACCUGGAAAACUACCUUAUUCCAUGGUAUUCCCGCCGAAUGGAGAGCAAUGUGCUAUUCUUGACCUACGAACAACUCCUCGCUGACACCAAGGCACAAGUGAAAAGAGUGGCUGAAUUCUUGGGACAGGAGAACGGUCGACGCGUCUCCACUGACCCACGCUUGUUGCAGCGCGUUGUGGACUUGUCUACGAAAGAACGCAUGCGGCCGUUUUUAAAA